CACACUGAAUGAAACAGUUACUCACCUCUCAGUAGAUCUGAUCCUGUUCGUGACGCCAAAUGAUACGUGGCAAUAUCUGGAAAUGAGAUGAAGACUUUUAACAAAUGCUGAGUACAAUGAGUUCAGACUAAUGCAGCUUUAUUCACACAACAAACAAACAAACGUUCAUGAAAGGGAGAACAGUUGACAUGCACCAAAUGUAUAUGCCAAGGUUUCUCUCCCGAGAGAGGGAGAUAACCCUGUGUACACACUCCUAAGAGCAUGUACCCAUAGUGUCUCAACAAACAUCAAAAUAACUCCUCCUUUAUACUUUUUUGGGGGCUUCACACAUUCUAGUCUAUCUAUUUCAGUGGAACAGUUACUUUCAAACUAUGCCUUUUAUGGCCUAUGCCUCUAAUAGAUUCACACAUUCCAAUCUAUUCCUGUGGGUGAAGGUUGUCCCCAGACUAACCUUCUUGUGUAGCACACUACAUACAAGAUAUGAAAUACAUUUGAAAACCUGAAUGCUGAAAUAUCCAACCUAUCAGCAUUGGUACACAUA